CAAAGUGAGAAAAUUCUCAGCCCAAGAUUUUCUCAGAAUUUUCUGAGAAUUGUCUCAGCUGAGAAAUUUCUCAAGUUGGCUUUCACUAAACUUUUUCUCAAGUCUUGAGAUUUUUCUCAGCUGAGCCGUAAUUUUUUAAGACAUAAGCGGCCAAACAUCCAAGGAGCCGCGUGAACUUUCCCACGGACACGAGUGCAUUAUUGGGGGCAGUGGAUUUAUUCAUUUAUUGAGACUAAUGAAGCGUUGAGAAAUGUUCAUAAACAACAUGUACAGUCUCGGGAUAUAUCCAAAUUGUAUGUUUGUACAAAGGUCACAGCCUGCUGAUGAAGAUCCUCAGCUUAUUAUACAGAGAUCAGGGUUGAGCUGUGUGCUGAUUCAAAAGAUGCUAAUGACAGUGGAUAAUCCAUUCUGAGUUGUUCUAGGACCAUUCACCAAUGUUUCAAAACACUGAUGGAACUGAAGGCAGUACAUGUGCUGGUGUCUGGCCUGUGAUUUCAAGUAUAGACUAUAAUUGUUGUACCUCCUCCUGAUGUAUCUCCUUGAAUACAAUAUAUUUGCCAUGUGAAAGGAACAAGCUGCAAGAUAUGCUGUGGAAAUGGGGGCCUAUGUAAAAAAAACAUUUUAUUUAAAGAAUAUAAGAAAUCUGACACUAAACUACUGAAAAGGUGCACAGGGGACAUUUUGUGUGUAUAGACUUUCAUCAAGAUUCUGAGAAAGUUGAUUUAUGAAACAAAAAUAGUCAUAUUGUGUCUUCAAAGCUGAAAAGAUUAAGAUCUUAGGAAAACUUAGGACUCAAGAAAAGUAAUGGGGUUAUGAAACUGUAGUGUUCAACAUUUAAAUUGUUUUUUCUUUUUUCACUACAUUUUGUGAAGAGGGUUCCAUCACAAGAUGAGAGAAGAAAAAGCUUAAUUAUUAAAAAAAAACAAUAUAGCCGAUAGAUAUACAUUGUUGAAGGCAUUAUCUUUGUUUACAUUAAAUUUAAAUGUGGCUGCCACCUUGUUUGUUAGAAACAUAAAGACACAUUAAUUUCUUGUUUUCGAAUUUUAUUAACGGAUUUAUGUGUCAAAGACUGGCAUAUGGGUGAAAAUGUUACUGAAAAUAUUAAAUCAGUUUUUAUUGAUUAACUCCCUUUUUGGCUUGUGCAGUAUAAAGUCAUGUGCAUCAUUGAAAGUAUAUGUAGUACUUUUCUAACCAACUGAUAAACAUUCUAUUUUUGGAAAGUUUGUUGCAUAAAGUUAAAGGAGUUUUUUUUUGUAUGAAGUUUACAUGGUGUAGGCCUUUAAGCUGUUUACUUUAAAAACCACCUUGUAUUUUUGAUAAUUUCUUAUGUAAUUAAGUCAUUUCAAAUGUUUUCUCUUUUAAGUGACCCUGAGUGGCAGUACUUGUUGACUACAAAACCAUCUACUAUAAUUAUUGGUUAACUAAUUAUUGGAAUAGUGAGUAUUUUAACAUUGUUUCAUCACAAUGCACUCCUUUAUGGGAAUAGGGAGGCAAUAGCACAUUUAACUAUUAAACUAAUUAUUAAACUAUGUCAUUUGAAUGAAAACAGCCUUAGACACACCUGAAAAUCAGAUAAAUUUAAAAAUACAUGCAAAGUUUUAAAAAUGUUUUUUGGAUUUAAGUUAUAACAUUUUCUUAUUUUUAUCUUCAGUUGGUUAUAAAUGCAACUGAUUGUUUUUAUCAACAUCUGUUGUCAGGUGUGUUUCGUCCCAAUUUAAUUUUGUGACCCAUACAGUGUUUCCAGGACUCAUCAGUAAGAGAAACACCAUCAACUUGAGUCAACAACAUAACUUUUAACAUGUGAACAGAAGUUAAUUAUAAACAUUUUCAAAGGAACAUAGUGAACUGGAACAGUAAAUGAAAAUUAUAAAAGAAAUGAAAACCUGUACACUUUGGCAUUUCAUAGUUCUUUUUAAAAAAUCAAAUUUAUCUGAGAAGACAAUGACAGUGAAAUAUAAAAUUUUACUUAAAAUUAUUGUUGUAAAUCAUACUGAAAUCUAACAAGUUACUGGUAAUAUAAAUUUAAUCAAUAGCAUAGAGUUAAGAUUUUCUGAUAUUUUUGGAAAGAUUUGAAAAACAUUGUACUUUAAAUGUUCAACCAAUAUUUUAGAUCAAAUUAUGAAAUGCCAUAUCUAUUUAUAAAUGAAUAAACUGUUGUCAACUUAUAAGAAUUUCUGUUAACU
rnacentral:lncRNA from 1 species